rnacentral:lncRNA from 1 species
UUACAACAGUGUCCCUAAUCACUCAAGUGAUCUCUUCGAUAUCCCAUUUUCUUCAUUGUUGAAUCCAAUGAACAAAGAACAAGAAUCAAAGAAGAAGAUAAGUGUCAAGAAUCUUAAUAACUCUCUGAAUCUUGAGCAGUUGCAGCACUUCAGCUUCUAUUUCUCACCAACUUUCUUCUUCUUUCUCAUCAUUGACACUAAGUUCUUUACUUUCUUGCAUAUCUCCUUAAAAAUCUUAGCCUUAAUUUGUCCCCUUGGUGGAGGAAUUCUAACAUGGGAUCUUGUCUUGUCUUCUGGGCUGUUCUUGAAUUGAUCUUCCAUUGUUUUUCUGAACUAUUUAGAAGUAGGAGAGAUGUGCAAGAGAAUUAGUUGAGGAACAGAGGAAGGAAGUGGAGAGCUGGGAGAUGUUAUAUAUGUGCUAAAUGGAGGAAUGAUCCUGAUUGGUCAAAGCCGAAGUCCACAUAAUGCGAUGACAUGGCAAGAUAUAAGUAUAUUUCGAGUUUUAAAUGCUUAAAAAAAAAUCCUGAUUGGUCAAAAGGAAUGACAAAGUGUGAACAAGACUUUAAAUUUCAAUUAUAAAUAAUGCGACAGUUGUUUUCUUCAAUAUUCAAAUGGCUAGGCUUUAGUACAUCAGACAAAUUGUGGGUUCUAACUUUCAAGGAUAAGCAUGCAUGCGGGUUUCAAUAUAUUUUUUUUUAUCUUUCUAAGUCUCAACAGUGGCAACAAGAAUUUGGUCAAAAAUAACUUAGAUUUAACUUUGUCUGGUUGUAGUUACGGACUUAUUUCAGUGGUAGCUGUAUCAAAUUGAAUUAAAGAAAUUUUAGAUUUAACUCUUCUGAUCUUCUUAUUCCUUAAUUCUGAAGAUAUAAUUACACAUUUUUAUUAAUAAAUUAUCAAUAAUUUUAUUAUUGAUAUUUUAAAUAGUUGAUAAAUGAUUUAAUUUAUUUUAAUAAUAUUUUUUUUAUAUAAUUUGAUUAGUUUUUUUUUGUUAGUUGUUUAGCCUAUCCUAGCUUAAACUUCCUAUAAUCUAAUUACUAGAAUAAAUAUAUUUUGUGAGAUUCAACAUUUAUGUGAAAUGAGAACAAUGAUUAUUUCCAUAUUUAUAAAAUAAUUUAUAUCUUAUUAUAUUUUACGAAUUAAAUUUAAAAAUAAUAUUCAUAAUAAAUAGAAGAGGACAGUAUUUGAUUUAAAUUAAUUUAUAUAUUGUGAUCAAUUUUUAUUUUUUUUUAAUUUAAUUUUGAUAAAAUAUUAAUAAAAUCAAAUCAAAUUGAUGAAUAAUAUAUUAUCAUUACUAAAAUAUUUCAAUUAAAUUUAAAAAAAAAUAAAGUGAAAAAAAAUUUUAAUUCAACUAAACAGAAUUUAAAUUGAUUUUUAUUUAAAAUUAAUUUAAUUUAAUUUUUAUAAAUAUUAAAAUUUUAAAUUUUAAUUUAAUUUAAUUUUAAAGAUACCCGACUGAAUACUUACCUAAUAAUAAAUACCUAUCGUCCCACUUGGAUACCUGCAAGGAUGUUAUGUUUUUAGCCACAUGGAUCACAAGCUAUCUCCUUGGUGGUGAGUGACUGAGUGGACACUACAUUUUUAAUUUUUUUUUCAUUUAACAUUGCCAAAUAGGCCACACAAAAUAAAUAAGGCUAAUCCAAUUCAAUAGUCUGGAAUAACUAUUCAAAGAUGCAUUAAUGUUUUACAUUUAAAUGAAAAGGAUUGCAUAUAUUUUUAAGAAAAUAAGUCAAAUAUAUGAUAUGGUCCCUAAACUUUACAUAAAAAGUUAGUUAAUAUUUUAAUAUUUAUAAAAGCAUAAUUAAAUAAUACUUAACUUUAUAGAAUAUGCAUUUUAAAAUAAAAAAAUCAAGCGAAUUGAAUUAAUUUAAAAAUUUAAUUUGGUUAUUUAUUUUCUUCAAUUUAAAAUUUAUUUUUAAAAAUUUUAUUAUUUUAAUCAGAAAAAUUGAUAAAAUUGAAUUGAAUUAAUUAUUAAAAAUAAAAUAUUAUUUUUUAUAAUAUAAAAAUAUUAGAUUAUAAUUAAAAUUAAAAUAUUUUAUCUAACAUUUAAAAUAUUAAAAAUAAAAUAUAAAAAAUAAAAUUGAUCAAAUUAAAUUAAAAAUUUAAUAUUUAAUAUUUAAAAAUUUAGAGAUGUUACGUGGCACAUAAAGGGACAUUUUUACGAAGUGUAAAAUAUUAACAAUGAAAAGGUCACUCUGCCAACUAAUUUGAAAUAAUAAGCAGCAUCAAAAAGCAUGAUGACUUUGAAUUUAUGGUGUGAACAUGGAAAAUAAGAGAGGUAGGACUUUCUUGACAAGAUCUUUAUGGCUUGGCUUGAGUCAAAUUUUACUAUAGUAAGGGGGCCCACCCUACACAAAGACUCAAAUGUUUGAAUUAUCCAACUUGAAGAGCCUCUUGAUACUGUAAUCACUUUCUCUAUUCUAUUAAUUGAAAGUUAAUUAUUAUUUUUUCUCUUUUUAAUAUAUCACUACCUACUUGUUAAAAUUUUUAAUUAAUAAAAUAAAAAUAUUAAAAAAAUAAAUCAGUUCAGUUAAAAAUAAAAUAAUUUUAAAUAUUUACUCUAUUUAUAAAAAUCAACCACUUAACCUCACUGAAAAAAAAAUCGAAUUAUUCAUUUCAAGAAUGAAAUUUAAACUUUAUUUAUUUUUAAAAUAUAAUUUUUAUUUAAAAAAUAUUUUAUAGAACUUUUUUAUAAAAAAUAUUUUUUAAACAAAUAACUUAUUUUUUACUGUUUAAUCAUAAUGAUUUAUAUCUCUAAAAUUUGUCAUUUCAUCUAUUUAAUAAUUUAUAUCUCUAUUGACAGUCUAGGGGUGUGCAUCGGUUCGGUUCGGUUUGAUAUCGAAUCGAACCGGUUAAAAUCAAUUUAAUUAAAUUUUUUUAAAUUAUAAAUCGAAUCGAAUCAAAUAAAAUAAAAAAUCAAAUCGAACCAAACCAAAUUAAUUAAUUUAGUUCGAUUCGAUUCAAAAUCGAUUUUUGAUAUUUUCUCUAAUUUCAUUGAAUUAUACUAUAAUUUGGACCUAAUAAGAAUCAAUUUCAACCUAAUAUAUUUAAUUAAUCAUAAAAUCCAAUCAAUUAAUCAUAAAAUCCAAAUUAAUCAACUUCUAACCUAAUAUACUUAAUCAAAUAUAAUAGCUAAAUUAUCCCAAAAACCAGUUAGCUUAAUUUCGAAGUAAAUUCUUUUGUUCACAAAUUUGAAACUAACAUAUCAUUUGUUCCAUAUACAGGCUUCAAAUUUUAGAGCAAAAGCGGAGAUGAGAUUCAAUCAGCUUUAACUGAACAUCAAAAGCCAACAAUUUUACUCAGAAAAUCAGGAAAUAUAAAGUUCAAAAUUUCCCCAAAAUGUAGAGGGAAUUGUAGGAGGCGCAGAAAUUGAUCCAAACAUACAUCAAAAAGAGAAUGGUGAACAAUGAGAAUCCACACCCAAAUACAAUUCGGGGCAAAAAUUUUCUAUAAAACUAUUAGAAAAACAAAAGAAUGGAAUCAAUUGAAUUUACCUUGUAAGGAUCAAUAGUUUUCGCCUCUCCAAAUAACAGAACAAAAGAUAAAACGACAGUCAAUGACAAUGUAAAGCGCUUGUUCAUCUUCUGAAAAUCUGUAGUGCGAAAGGGAAUGUCCCACUGGGUGGGUGGAUGGCCGUGGCUGCGGGACUGAAGACGCGAAGGAUGGAGAGAAGAGACUCUGGCUGGCUUUCGCGAGUGGGUGGGUGGCUGUGGCUGCGGGACCGAACUGAAGGACGAGAACGGAGAAGGGACGAGAACGGUGAGGAGACUCUCGCGGCCGUCAGCGUGCUUCAACUGAGACUGAGGUUUGAGAGAGAGGGAGGUAGGUAGCGGCUGGCUGUAUGCGGGAGCGGGAUGGGAACCUGGGAAAGUGACGAAGUGAAGAGAUAUAACCCUAUCAUAAAACGUAGC